UAUAUAUAUAUAUAUAUAUAUAUUUAAGCAGGUUUUAGAAGGGGGGUACUGUUGUCCAGUGGAGAUGGGGAUGACAGUACUAUGUAGUAGAGUAGCGGCUGUCAAGCAAAAGAAGCAGGGAAAUGGAUUUCUGUUUUUCUGAAUUCAGAGAUUAUUUCUGUAAAAUCAUAAGGAAAGACUAAUGCUACUUUUGUAUGAGAUGUGUUGUUCAGCUUGUUCUCCGUAUACGCAGAAAAACUAGGGUGGUUCUGUGCAGUCAAGAAUACCAAUAAAUCUACUGCUUGAAAAGAAAAGAAAAAAAGCUUUUGGAAACAACUGGUGCUUCUUGACUGUCCUGGAGUUUUCAGCAACUUCAGUAGUGUGUGUGAGCUCAAAGCUCUGCUUUUUUUGCUCUUGAGGGUGCAUAUGUACACUGAUCAGUUCCCUGACAAACCUUUAAGUCCAUCAUAUUGCAAUACUCAAAUGUGGCCAUUGGUAUGUGAUGAAAAACCCAGCUUGAUGUGGUUGCUUAUGCCAAAGGGGUGACUGGAUGCUCUGCGUGUGAAGCACUGAAUUUGGCAGCCCAGCAUGUGAGCAAAUGCUUCUGAUCACCACGUGGGAGUUUGUGCCAGUCACAGGCACAAACAGGAGCAGAUGGGCUACGUGUGCUGCUAGAAACAGGUCUGUCACAAUGGGAAGUGGAACUGAAGCCAAGCAG